ACACCUCAACUCUCAUGGCUCGCCAUGAUGAGCUUGGACUUUGGGGGUCUUGCUGGCCUGUGGUCGGCUCCUCUCAAAUGGAUCAGCUUGCCAGUGUUUGGUGGCAUCACAGGUGUGAUAACUAUCUGCGCUUGUGGUUUUCCAUCAGAUAACCUUCAGUGAUGGAGGUUCGCUGGAGCUCAUAAACGUCUUCCCUAAGCGGGGACAGCCCUUUGAAU
rnacentral:misc_RNA from 1 species